GGACCUGACUGCUAUCGGAUUGAUACUAAGCCAUGCGAGUCUUUGUAGUAAUACAAGGCAUACGGCUCAGUAACGCGUAGUCAACCUACCCUAUGGACAAGAAUAAUCUCGGGAAACUGAGCAUAAUUCUUGAUAGAUCAUAAUGCCUGGAAUGGUUUAUGGUUAAAAUGAUUCGUCGCCAUAGGAUGGGACUGCGGCCUAUCAGCUUGUUGGUGAGGUAAUGGCCCACCAAGACUAUUACAGGUACGGGCUCUGAGAGGAGUAGCCCGGAGAUGGGCACUGAGACACGGACCCAGGCCCUAUGGGGCGCAGCAGGCGAGAAAACUUUGCAAUGUGCGAAAGCACGACAAGGUUAAUCCGAGUGGUUUCUGCUAAAGAAACCUUUUGUCAGUCCUAGAAACACUGAUGAAUAAGGGGUGGGCAAGUUCUGGUGU
rnacentral:rRNA from 1 species